AACGAACGCUGGCGGCAGGCUUAACACAUGCAAGUCGAGCGAGACCUUCGGGUUUAGCGGCGGACGGGUGAGUAACGCGUGGGAACGUGCCCUUUACUACGGAAUAGCCCAGGGAAACUUGGAUUAAUACCGUAUACGCCCUUCGGGGGAAAGAAUUUCGGUGAAGGAUCGGCCCGCGUUGGAUUAGGUAGUUGGUGGGGUAAUGGCCUACCAAGCCGACGAUCCAUAGCUGGUUUGAGAGGAUGAUCAGCCACACUGGGACUGAGACACGGCCCAGACUCCUACGGGAGGCAGCAGUGGGGAAUCUUAGACAAUGGGGGCAACCCUGAUCUAGCCAUGCCGCGUGAGUGAUGAAGGCCUUAGGGUUGUAAACCUCUUUCAGCAGGGAAGAAGCGAAAGUGACGGUACCUGCAGAAAAAGCACCGGCUAACUACGUGCCAGCCGCCGCAGUAACAC
rnacentral:rRNA from 1 species